rnacentral:rRNA from 1 species
UACGAAGGUCCCAAGCGUUGUUCGGAUUCACUGGGCGUAAAGGGUGCGUAGGUGGUCGGGUAAGUCCGAUGUGAAAUCUCCGAGCCUAACUCGGAAACUGCAUCGGAUACUAUUCGGCUUGAGGGUUGGAGGGGGGACUGGAAUACUUGGUGUAGCAGUGAAAUGCGUAGAUAUCAAGUGGAACACCAGUGGCGAAGGCGAGUCCCUGGACAACUCCUGACACUGAGGCACGAAAGCUAGGGGAGCAAACAGG